CCUACGGGUGGCAGCAGUGAGGAAUAUUGGUCAAUGGGCGCGAGCCUGAACCAGCCAAGCAGCGUGAAGGAUGACUGCCCUACGGGUUGUAAACUUCUUUUAUAAAGGAAUAAAGUGAGGCACGCGUGCCUUUUUGUAUGUACUUUAUGAAUAAGGAUCGGCUAACUCCGGGCCAGCAGCCGCGGUAAUACGGAGGAUCCGAGCGUUAUCCGGUUUUAUUGGGUUGAAAGGGAAGGUAGAUGGGUUGUUAAGUCAGUUGUGAAAAUUUGCGGCUAAACCGAAAAAUUGCAAUUGAUACUGGCAGCCUUGAGUACAGUUGAGGUAGGCGGAAUUCGUAGUGUAGCGGUGAAAUGCUUAGAUAUCACGAAGAACUCCGAUUGCGAAGGCAGCCUACUAAACUUCCACUGACAUUGAUGCUCGAAAGUGUGGGUAUCAAACAGGAUUAGAUACCCGAGUAGUC
rnacentral:rRNA from 1 species